AACUCGUCUGCGCUUAUUACACCCCCGGACAGGCCUCAGGCGGUAUGAUAUUAGGUAAAGUUACUGUUGUUUUUUGUUUUUUUUUUUUUUUUUGUAGUUUUUUUUUGUAGUUUUUUAAAUAAACAUUUUUUUUUUUUCGUCCAUUUUUCACGCCCGUAUAUCCCGUCCAUUUCAAUUAACCCGUUAAUACAUUUAUUUGGAAACGAGCGUACCGUAAUAAUACCGGUAUUUUUUUUAUUUUUUUUUUUUUUUUUGAAAUCGAAUUCAAUACAUUAAAAACACAGUGUUGAGUUUAGUUGCCAAACAUUUUAGUGUACAAAUCACGUGCCUCUAACGCGUUGUAACAAUAUUGUAAAUACAAUAAUAAUUGUUUAUUAUAACACUCAGUACUAUAUUAUGAUUGUCGAAACGUUAUUUUAAAGGUACAAUCACCUGAAAAUUACUGCAUCCUUAGUAUGUAAAACUAAAUUUCCUUGUAAUAAAUUGAUCUGCCUUUAGAUUUCCAUGUGUUUAAAUUUUAAGUUCAACUAUCGUUGAGUAAUGAGAAAAUCGGAAAGCUACACACAAAGAGUAUAUCAAGACAUUUAGCUUCUGGUUCAUUAGGG